CGUGGAAGAGCUGCAUUUGCCGUAACUCAGAGCUCCUUAGAUAACAAAACAUUCUAAUAGUGGCUGUAACUAUCGAGGGGAAUAGCACCAUGGAGAUUGCAUAGAUUUUUCUAAGAUUGGCUUCAUCUGAACAGGUUGGGAGGGAAGAGUGAGAAUGAACACAAAAAAAUGAUAGGAAAAGGCUAAAGGAAGACAUCGUUCCUCUGCUUCCUUGGGGCCACUUUUGCGGAAAAAUCACUUCAUUUACAGAUUCGUGCAAGGCAGAAGGAAAUUCGUGACGAGAAUUCUCCGGUUGCGUCACGUGGAGAGUGAGUCGAGAUCAAUCUUCCUUCCUGUGGUGGCUAUUGUUUUUGCUUUCGAUGCCAACCUAAGUACAUGUGCGGCAGUCUCCCGUACGGCACUUGCUUCACAUGCAUCAUUUCACAUUUGUGUUUGCAAAUAUCUUCUAACCUUUGUUUACUUGGUUCAAGAUACCUGGCUGUGUUUCAGUUCAAAAAUUGAAGGGCAAUUCAAUAACCACAAUGUGUUCUGGAAUUGGUAUGAUGAAAUCCUGAUGUGGAGUAACAAAAACCAAUACUGUUGAUAGCUUAUUUGCCUUUUUGGAAGUGCUAACAAGCUCAUCUGCAAGGUGAGAAGAUAAGGUGUAUAAGCAGAAAUACUGAUGGAUUUUUCAAGAAGGAAUGAUUUUGACCUUUGCUUUUCUGAUGGUAUAUGGCAUACUUCCAACAUUUUCGUCUCUCACUGGACCAUAUCACUCCUCAAACAAAACUGGUUUCUGCUUUGAUGAAAUUAACUCACUGUGGAUCGGGAUUGUGGAAGUCUUCUAUACCUUACGUCAGCUGUAAAAGUGUGUGAGAUAUUGGUGAUAGGAGAUAUCAAGUUUUAAAAUGAUUGCAAUGACAGUGCAAAUUAUUAGUGCAAGGCAAUUAUUAUAGUAUCUUUA